rnacentral:tRNA from 1 species
GGGCCCGUAGCUUAGCCAGGUAGAGCGCCCUGGGGCAAUCGCCCCGCGUAAGGCUCAUAACCGGGAGGUCCCGGUCGCGGGUUAACCGCGGGGAAUGUUCGAAUCCCGGCGGGCCCACCA